rnacentral:rRNA from 1 species
GAUGAACGCUGGCGGCGUGCUUAACACAUGCAAGUCGAACGAAGCAUUUAAGACAGAUUACUUCGGUUUGAAGUCUUUUAUGACUGAGUGGCGGACGGGUGAGUAACGCGUGGGUAACCUGCCUCAUACAGGGGGAUAGCAGCUGGAAACGGCUGGUAAUACCGCAUAAGCGCACAGUACCACAUGCUACCGUGUGAAAAACUCCGGUGGUAUGAGAUGUACCCGCGUGUGAUUAUCUGGUUGGCGGGGUAACGGCCCACCAAGGCGACGAUGAGUAGCCGAGAAGAGAGAGUGACCGGCGACAUUUGGGCUGAGCAACGGUAGAGAAUCCUACGGAAUGGAGGAGUGGGGGAUAGAGCAAAAUGGAGUAAGUUAUGAAGCAGUGAGGACGGGUAAGCGAAGAAGUAGUGGGCGAUGAAAAGCUCAAGUAGCAGGGAAGAUAGUGACGGUACCUGACCAAGAAGCCACGGCUAAAUACGUG